rnacentral:rRNA from 1 species
AGGCCCAAGUGAGAUUAGCUAGUUGGUGAGGUAAGAGCUCACCAAGGCGACGAUCUCUAGCUGUUCUGAGAGGAAGAUCAGCCACACUGGGACUGAGACACGGCCCAGACUCCUACGGGAGGCAGCAGUGGGGAAUAUUGCACAAUGGGGGAAACCCUGAUGCAGCCAUGCCGCGUGUGUGAAGAAGGCCUUCGGGUUGUAAAGCACUUUCAGUUGUGAGGAAAAGUUAGUAGUUAAUACCUGCUAGCCGUGACGUUAACAACAGAAGAAGCACCGGCUAACUCCGUGCCAGCAGCCGCGGUAAUACGGAGGGUGCGAGCGUUAAUCGGAAUUACUGGGCGUAAAGCGCACGCAGGCGGUUUGUUAAGCUAGAUGUGAAAGCCCCGAGCUCAACUUGGGAUGGUCAUUUAGAACUGGCAGACUAGAGUCUUGGAGAGGGGAGUGGAAUUCCAGGUGUAGCGGUGAAAUGCGUAGAUAUCUGGAGGAACAUCAGUGGCGAAGGCGACUCCCUGGCCAAAGACUGACGCUCAUGUGCGAAAGUGUGGGUAGCGAACAGGAUUAGAUACCCUGGUAGUCCACACCGUAAACGCUGUCUACUAGCUGUGUGUGCCUUUAAGGCUGUGCGUAGCGAAGCUAACGCGAUAAGUAGACCGCCUGGGGAGUACGGCCGCAAGGUUAAAACUCAAAUGAAUUGACGGGGGCCCGCACAAGCGGUGGAGCAUGUGGUUUAAUUCGAUGCAACGCGAAGAACCUUACCUACACUUGACAUGCAGAGAACUUUCCAGAGAUGGAUUGGUGCCUUCGGGAACUCU